rnacentral:rRNA from 1 species
GAUGAACGCUGGCGGCGUGCCUAAUACAUGCAAGUCGAGCGAACAGACGAGGAGCUUGCUCCUUUGACGUUAGCGGCGGACGGGUGAAUAACACGUGGGUAACCUACCUAUAAGACUGGGAUAACUUCGGGAAACCGGAGCUAAUACCGGAUAAUAUUUCGAACCGCAUGGUUCGAUAGUGAAAGAUGGCUCUGCUAUCACUUAUAGAUGGACCUGCGCCGUAUUAGCUAGUUGGUAAGGUAACGGCUUACCAAGGCAACGAUACGUAGCCGACCUGAGAGGGUGAUCGGCCACACUGGAACUGAGACACGGUCCAGACUCCUACGGGAGGCAGCAGUAGGGAAUCUUCCGCAAUGGGCGAAAGCCUGACGGAGCAACGCCGCGUGAGUGAUGAAGGUCUUCGGAUCGUAAAACUCUGUUAUUAGGGAAGAACAAACGUGUAAGUAACUGUGCACGUCUUGACGGUACCUAAUCAGAAAGCCACGGCUAACCACGUG